rnacentral:piRNA from 1 species
CUGACUGUGAAAGGAUCGGUAGGCCUU